rnacentral:rRNA from 1 species
AGACACGGCCCCCACUCCUACGGGAGGCAGCAGCAGGGAAUCUUGCACAAUGGGCGAAAGCCUGAUGCAGCGACGCCGCGUGAGGGAUGAAGGUUUUAGGAUCGUAAACCUCUUUUCUUAGGGAAUAGUUUGGAAGGUACCUAAGGAAUAAGUCACGGCUAACUACGUGCCAGCAGCCGCGGUAAUACGUAGGUGGCAAAUGUUGUCCGGAAUCAUUGGGCGUAAAGGGUCCGUAGGUGGCAUGAAUAGUCUUAUGUGAAAUCUCUUGGCUCAACCAAGAAACGCCAUAAGAAACUUUCAUGCUAGAGAUCAUCAGAGGGAGGUAGAAUUCCAGGUGUAGUGGUGAAAUGCGUAGAUAUCUGGAGGAAUACCAAUGGCGAAAGCAGCCUCCUGGGGUGAAUCUGACAUUGAGGGACGAAAGCGUGGGUAGCAAACCGGAUUAGAUACCCGGGUAGUCCAUGCCGUAAACGAUGAAUACUGGGUCUUCGGGGAAUCGACCCCCUGUGGACCGAAGCUAACGCGUUAAGUAUUCCGCCUGGGGAGUACGGUCGCAAGACUAAAACUCAAAGGAAUUGACGGGGGCCCGCACAAGCAGCGGAGCGUGUGGUUUAAUUCGAUGGUAAACGAAGAACCUUACCUAGGUUUGACAUAUAAGUAGUACUGACCCGAAAGGUGAUGGACCCGCAAGGGAGCUUAUACAGGUGCUGCAUGGUUGUCGUCAGCUCGUGCCGUGAGGUGUUGGGUUAAGUCCCGCAACGAGCGCAACCCUCGUGGAUAGUUGUUUUCUUUAUCCAGACUGCUUUUACAAGAGGAAGGUGGGGAUGACGUCAAAUCAUCAUGGCUCUUACACCUAGGGCUACACACACGCUACAAUGGACAGUACAGACGGUUGCUAAGUCGCAAGAUGGAGCCAAUCCGAUAAAGCUGUCCCCAAUUGGGAUUGUAGGCUGAAACUCGCCUGCAUGAACCUGGAGUUGCUAGUAACCGCAGAUCAGAAUGCUGCGGUGAAUACGUUCCCGGGCCUUGUACACACCGCCCGUCACGUCAUGGAAGUUUGAAACACUUGAAGUCGUUGGGCUUACCUUUUAGGAGGCAGGCGCCGAGAGUGGGGCAAAUGACUGGGACGAAGUCGUAACAAGGUAGCUGUACCGGAAGGUGCG